UACGUAGGGUGCGAGCGUUGUCCGGAAUUACUGGGCGUAAAGAGCUCGUAGGCGGUUUGUCGCGUCGUCCGUGAAACUUGGGGCUCAACCCCAAGCUUGCGGGCGAUACGGGCAGACUUGAGUACUGCAGGGGAGACUGGAAUUCUGGUGUAGCGGUGAAAUGCGCAGAUAUCGGGAGGAACACCAGUGGCGAAGGCGGCUUUCUGGCCUGCUCUUGACGCUGAGGCGCGAAAGCUAGGGUAGCAAACGGG
rnacentral:rRNA from 1 species